rnacentral:rRNA from 1 species
AAAUGAAUUGACGAGGCCCGCACAAGCGGUGAGCAUGUGGUUUAAUUCGAAGCAACGCGAAGAACCUUACCAGGUCUUGACAUCCCUGACAACCCGAGAGAUCGGGCGUUCCCCUUCGGGGGACAGGGUGACAGGUGGUGCAUGGUUGUCGUCAGCUCGUGUCGUGAGAUGUUGGGUUAAGUCCCGCAACGAGCGCAACCCUCGACCUUAGUUGCCAGCAUUCAGUUGGGCACUCUAAGGUGACUGCCGGCUAAAAGUCGGAGGAAGUGGGGAUGACGUCAAAUCAUCAUGCCCCUUAUGACCUGGGCUACACACGUGCUACAAUGGGCGGUACAAAGGGUCGCGAACCCGCGAGGGGGAGCCAAUCCCAAAAAGCCGCUCUCAGUUCGGAUUGCAGGCUGCAACUCGCCUGCAUGAAGCCGGAAUCGCUAGUAAUCGCGGAUCAGCAUGCCGCGGUGAAUACGUUCCCGGGCCUU